UACGUAGGGUGCAAGCGUUGUCUGGAAUUAUUGGGCGUAAAGAGCUUGUAGGUGGUUUGUCGCGUCUGCUGUGAAAAUCCGAGGCUCAACCUCGGGCCUGCAGUCGAUACGGGCAGACUAGAGUUCGGUAGGGGAGACUGGAAUUCCCGGUGUAGCGGUGAAAUGACGCAGAUAUCGGGAGGAACACCGGUGGCGAAGGCGGUUCUCUGGGCCUUACCUGACACUGAGGAGCGAAAGGCGUGGGGAGCGAACAGG
rnacentral:rRNA from 1 species